rnacentral:lncRNA from 1 species
UUUGCACCAAAGGGAGAUAAUUUGGAGCUUUUUCAAUGAUAUAAACAUUUUAAAAGUUAUCUGGGGCCAAACAGAAUAUUUUUUUUGGGUUGAUUUUUGUACCAUAUCAUAAAGUAAUAACUAGUAGUGUAAUAAAUAAAAUUUGUAAUGAAAAAAUAAAGGUUUAUUUUUUUGCUGAAAUUUUUGUACCCACAAACCACCUUAAUAAUUUGAAGGAGUCGAGUGUGUAAAAUUGGAAUUUCAAUAUUCAUUGUCAGUUUUACAAAAUUUAACCCCCUUUUCCUUUCAUCGCCAAUAUCAAAAUUUGUAUAUAAAAAUAAGGAGAUAGGAUAUGAUUGCAAAUGAGACAACUAUAUAUAUCCUCCAAAGUUCAAAUAAAGUUGAGGUAAGCAAUUAUAGGCAAAUGUACGGUCUUCAACAGUGAGAAAAACCCAUACCGUAAAGUCGUCUAUAAAAGGUUCCAACAGGACAAAUAUGAAAAAAUUUAAUUGAGAAAACUUACGACUCAAUUUAUGACAAAACAUUUUAUGAAAAACAAAUAUGACAGGUUUAAACCAACGACAACCACUGAACUACAGGCUCCUGACUUAGGACAGGCACAUACAGAAUCUGGCGGGGUUAAACAUAUUUAUGAGCCCUCAACCCUCCCCUAACCUGGAACAGUGUUUCAUAGUUAUUUUAUUGUUUUUAACUUAUUCCUUUAUUCCAUUAUUAACUAUUUAUAUUGAUUUUAUGUGAACAUGUUUAUAUAUUCUAUAAUAUUUGAUAUUGAUUAGAUUUUGUCAGAAAUUAUUUUGCAACAAUCAUAGUUUGAUUUCAUGCUUGAUAAUUUUCUCCUUGUACUCAAUCACUCCAUAUGUGUCUGACUUAUAGCCUGAUUUGUCAUAAUUGUCAACCUUUUUCAAUGCUUAUACAUUUUGCCUUCAAACUGUUUGCAUUAGCACAACUGUUUUAUUUUAAAUACCUAGUGACUUUGUAAUUUACAAAUUAAAUAUGCUAUGAUACUGUUGUGUUUGUUGUUGAUGUGAUUAUUGUAGCACUAUUUGU